rnacentral:rRNA from 1 species
AGUGAACGCUGGCGGUAGGCCUAACACAUGCAAGUCGAACGGCAGCACAGUAAGAGCUUGCUCUUACGGGUGGCGAGUGGCGGACGGGUGAGGAAUACAUCGGAAUCUACUUUUUCGUGGGGGAUAACGUAGGGAAACUUACGCUAAUACCGUAUACGACCUACGGGUGAGAGCAGGGGAUCUUCGGACCUUGCGCGAUUGAAUGAGCCGAUGUCGGAUUAGCUAGUUGGCGGGGUAAAGGCCCACCAAGGCGACGAUCCGUAGCUGGUCUGAGAGGAUGAUCAGCCACACUGGAACUGAGACACGGUCCAGACUCCUACGGGAGGCAGCAGUGGGGAAUAUUGGACAAUGGGCGCAAGCCUGAUCCAGCCAUACCGCGUGGGUGAAGAAGGCCUUCGGGUUGUAAAGCCCUUUUGUUGGGAAAGAAAAGCAGCAGGUUAAUACCCCGCUGUUCUGACGGUACCCAAAGAAUAAGCACCGGCUAACUUCGUG